UAGGGAAUCUUCGGCAAUGGGGGCAACCCUGACCGAGCAACGCCGCGUGAGUGAAGAAGGUUUUCGGAUCGUAAAGCUCUGUUGUAAGAGAAGAACGUGUGUGAGAGUGGAAACGUUCACACAGUGACGGUAACUUACCAGAAAGGGACGGCUAACUACGUGCCAG
rnacentral:rRNA from 1 species